CACACACGGAAUUCGGGACGAUCGUUCGAAUCUUCGAAGGAUCAGCCCACCGGUUGCAGCCAUGAGGCUGCUUCGUUCCGUGGAGGCUAAACCGGUAAAAGGAACGUU
rnacentral:sRNA from 1 species